rnacentral:SRP_RNA from 10 species
AAAUUCCUUAACAGAGAAAAACACCUUUGUAAGGCUCAACUUACCUAUUCCAGCAAGCACACUUUUUCUGUCAUUUUUUCUUUCUUUUCAAAUUUGAUAUUGUCAUUAUUUUAAAAUAGUAAGUUUUCUUUAAUAGUCUUUUGGGACCUAACAUACCCUUUCUCAUACAAUUCCUAAUGCUCUGUUUAUGGCAGAUAAUCUGUAAUGUUAUGAAGACCUAUCAAAAAGUUUUAAAAGUAUUUCUGUCUUCAAAGGUAGUAAGACAGGAUUAAAUUUUUAUUAGAAUAGACAAAUCAGUGAAUGGUAUGCAUGUAUCUAGUGGUUACUAGAACUCAGGAUCACACAAUAUAGUAGCAUCACGAUCUGUGUAUAUUUUUGAUCAAGAUGAUAAUAAUGGCCUUACUUGGGUUUUUAUCGUUUAUCAAAUCUUACAUACAAAAGAGUGGAAGUAUUCCUUUACAAAAUUUCUAAGGAAAAUAUUUCUUCCAAUCUAUCACAAUUAUAGAAUGGAUAUAUGUUUCUGAAAAGUUUUUGAAAGAAAGCAAAAGUUCUAGAACUAAAAGUAAGCUGGUAUUUAAUAUCCCGUUGAUAUUUAGAAAAGAUUGUUAAUAAGAAAUGGAGGAUGCAUUUAGUACUAUUUUUAUCCACUAGUUCACUUUCAGUACAGUUAUGUAUACUUGUUUUGAUUGAGAGUGUGACAUACAUGUUAAAUCAGAUUAGCUUGUUUCUUUUAAAUAUACAUAUACACAAAUACAUAUAAUUUUUUCUCCUUUUUGUUGUGCAUAUCUCUAUGCAUUUUUAAACUUUUAGAUUUGUGAAUGACCUAUGUGUAAAUUUUUGUUUUUAUAAACCAGAAAUUAUACAAGUUUUAAUGUGUGUCAAGAACUUGUUCCAUACAACUGUGGUAUCGAGCAAUAAUGUUAAUAACUUUUGGAAUUAUAUAAACUAUGCUUAAUAAUUUGUAUUGAGAAUUGGUACCACUAUACAAUACUUUUUUCCUGUAUUAAAUCUUUUAAAUACCAGUUUCAUUAAUUUAUAUACCUGUAUUUUUAAAAGUAUUUCUUUGUACUUGCCAAAGUACUGUAAUCCUAUAUAAAUUUGAAUAGUCAAAUGCCAGUAUCUCAUGUCCUAUAUCCUGUCUUGGAUAUUAGGAGCUAUCUUAAAAACUAGGAUUUAAGAUUUUUUUUUGCUUGAGAAUUAUAUGUUUUCCUUGCCCCCCAAGUAACAACUUGAAUUUGUAGAACACUUUUCCUGUGAAGAGUUCAAAGUACAAAGAACUCAAAUACUUAUUUUAUUUAACUUGUAUCUAGGGUGUGUCCUACCACCUUAAAGUAGUGCAAUUAAAAAUAAUGCCAUCUAGAAACUUCAGUAUUCCUCUGUGGUUUCAGUGUGAAAAAUAAUUGUAUCUUCAUACAACGCUAAAUCUGCCUCAGGAUUCAGAAAGAUCAGAAAAAUAUAAUGACUGUGUAAACUAUGCAACACAGUGUUCCCUGUAUAAAAUUGUAUAAAUCCAUAGAGCACCAUAUUGAUAAGCUUUAUGAGAAGAACUUAUCUAUUUACAUAAUUUAUUCUCCUGUUAUUAGUCUACUGUGGAUAAUAAUUUUAAAAUUACUAUAUUCCCUUAGGGAUAUUUUAACUGUAAGAUAAUUUUCAUAGUUGAUUAUAUUAAGUAUAGAAUCUUUAAAAGCUUUUCUGAUUUUAUUCAGCCAUGUGCCAUUUGCUUAAAGAUUCCCUAGAAACAUACACUUCAAUGUAUAUAUAGAAAAUAACUGUGAAUACUUAAUAUGUGGUAUUAUAAGCCAGUUAUGCCUUGGGCAUUUAGAUUUUCAUGCUUGGAUUUUCAUUAGUAACCUGUAGUAUAACUGUAUCCUUUCUUGAACCAUGAAUUUAAGUGCCCACAUUACUGGAUAGUAGAGAUGCCCAUAUUAAGUAAACAUCAGUCUAAGGAAAUAUUUAAAGUGAUGAUUUUUCUUCAGCUUCUGUUUUCUGACUUAAAGUUUGUGGGACAUAAACUGUAGAGCUUUUUAAACUGGCCAAGAAAAAAUAUUAUUGGCAGAAAGUUUGGUAUAUGGAUUCUACAUAGGCUAAGGUAAAUAACUUAUGGUCUUUUUAAAAUACAUUACUGGCAUUUUACAAUCAGUCACCAUUUCUGUAUAGAAACAUUCUUUUCUCAACAAAUGUACGUUGACAACCCUGUUAUAUUUUAAUAUAUAACUCUGGCUAUCUGGGUUAAAAUGAUACUCCAAAGCCUAAUGACUAUAGUAAAACUGAUGUGACACAUUUAGCUUCUAAGGUAGAUGUUGGCCCUCCCUUACAUGGAGAUCACCUUACCUAUCUAAAAUGAUCAUCAGAUGCUUUAUUAAGACUCUUUAAUGACUAGAUUUCAUUUAUUUAAAAUAUAAACAUGUCAUUUUGCCCUAAAUUCAACAAAAUAAAUUCAACAAAGCCUUGAAUAAUAGUAAACAAUGAUUAUUUUUUCUUAUGAGAAAAACUAGUUUUGUAAUUGAAUAAUUUUAAAUCAGGAAGAAUCCAGCUUUCCCCAAGGUUUUGUCUUUAGUGUUAUUUUUUCAGUGUUAGAGAGCUUCUGGUUGUUUCUUUAUAUUAAUAGACGCAGGCCAACCAUAAAAAUCUUUGACAAUAUUCUGUCUCUAUCUUUGGAUGUAAAAGGACAUUAAAUAGUAAUACGUACAGUUGGACCCACAGUUGCAUGAGUUCAAACUACUAGUUUUGUAUAACACUGUGUACAUAGUCAGACUGUUUCAACUUUUGUGGUAUUUAGCUUCACAAUUAUAACCUUUAACUGCAUGCUUGAUGUUUCACUGUAAAUAUUUGCUUUGACUUGCUGUUAAUCAGUAGUACUAAAUCAAAACUAUAGUGUGUUAAAGCUGUCUUGGACUGAACUCCAGCAUCUAGUCCUGCACCCUCUUUCUUUUUAUCCUUUUGGACACCAUGGAUUCUUUUGCUGUCCUCCUGAUGUCCAGAGUCUUUACCUAGGCCUGAACAUAGUUCAGAAUUGCAUUUUUAUCUUUCUUCCUCAAAGCUCCCAGUAAGAACAGUAAUUUUUUUUUUUUUUUUUUGAGACAGUCUCACUCUGUUGUCCAGGCUGGAGUGCAGUGGCACCAUCUUGGCUGACUGCAACCUCCACCUCCUAGGUUCAAGCAAUUCUCUGCCUCAGCCUCCCGAGUAACUGGUAUUACAGACGCCCGCCACCACGCCCGGCUAUUUUUUUUGUAUUUUAGUAGAGACGAGGUUUCACCGUGUUGCCCAGGCUGGUCUCGAACUCCUGUGCUCAAGCAAUCUGCCCACCUCGGCCUCCCAAAAUAAGAACAGUAAUUCUUUUGUAUUCUUAGGUAGGUGUUUAGAAGACCAAUUAAAGUAAGUCGCAUUAAGUGAUGAAUGGCUGACACCCUCAGUUCUGCUAAGGUGGUACUUGCAUUUUAAAAAUGCAUUUUAAAAAGAGAUUUCUUAAUUGAUGCAGUGGUGCAAUUGAUGUUUCCUUCUGAAAAGACCCUAAUGGUCCACGCUUUCUAGGGAGGGAACAAUAGGAUGGUUGGACAUGGGGUUGCUUCUCAAACCUGUUUUUGAAAGAAGGUGAUUAAUAAUUAGUUUUUGGGAGGAAAGAAUAGGCUAAUUUUAAACCAAACUAUUAAUUAUCCCAUAGCCGUUUGUGUUUAUUUAACCUUUUCUUAAAUAAAGUAACUCUUAAUUUUUCCUUGAUAUCAUGGCCAACUUUAUGUUGUUUUUAGGAAUAUAUCUUGAGAUUUGAAGAAUGUCUUUAAAUCUUGAGGUAUCUUGUUCUGCACUUCUAUGGAGAUCUUUAGAUAAUAAUUAAGAGAAGCCUAAAUAUUAUUGGUAUUAUUAAUCAUAAUUCUAUCUGUUUCUGUAAUAUGGAGCAUUAUCUCCCCCACCCCAAUGGCAUAUUGAAGUAACAGAGGUUGUUUAUAAUCUUAAUAGGUAGUACUGAAAACAGAAAUUCAGGAUGUUGAUCCUGAUUUGGAACUCAUUUCUGGUAUUCUACAAGAUCAUCCAGCUACUUGGCCUUUUUGGUUUCAUUUUCAUUUCCCAAGCAGGGAGAUACUAUGACUACCUCAUGGUGUUAUCUUGUGAAGCAAUAUUUUUCGAUAGUUUAUUUUCCUGUUAUUAAGUCCUAUAUAAAAGUAAGUAGUUAGAUGUUUAAUAAUAAUGAUUGAAUAGGUUUUUCAAUUUAUUUACAAAGUCAGCGCAAACUUGAAUUAUUGUCAGGUUUUGCAUUUAAAGUGGAAGAGAUUGGGUAUUCCCUAUAUAUACUUAUAAUGCUUUGCAUGUUUAAAAAUCAGGGAAACAUUAAAUAUAGUACUUUGAAGAAAGUUUCUAAUAAGAUUUUUAAAAAUAUAGUUACGUCUGAGAUACUUAAACAAAAUCAUGCC